UACGGAAGCCGAAGGGAUCAAAAUUAUCUUUACUAACUUUUGGAAUGGGAAAGCAGACAGUUUUUGACCGUGUUGUGGAAGCACAUUGAGAAGCGUUAAGUAUGGGCUUAAAACUGAAUUGCUGAAUAUAAUGAUAAUAAUAAUAACAUAUGGACAAUGCUGUCGCCCUUCUGUGUUAUGGUGAGCGUGUAUAUAUUGUAUUGAGAAUAAAUGGAUCGCCAAAUCCAAAGAAGUUCACCUGUUCGCCCCUCAGUGACUUUAGACAUUUUGUGUUGUUAAAAAGUCACUACACUGGCAGACAGAGCAGCACGAUUGUAGCCCAGUCUACUAAUUGAAGCACAAGGAUGCAGGAGGAGCAGCAAAUGGUGCGCUAGGGAGGAGAAGACAAAACAGCUGCUAUACAGAGGUGCCAGGGAAGCCAUGUUGGGAGAAGCAAAAGAACUGUGUAAAGCAGCGAGGCUAACAAGGGGGCGAAGAGGAGAUGCCAACCUGGGGCAGGACAGAGCGGUGCUCCAGCAUCGUAAAAUGACUUGAGCGGCAUGGUGGCAGAGAGACAAGUUGGCAUGGUCCUGCCACAAGGACAGCGUUCCCCAGCACCGGUGAAUCUGCUCCCCCAAAUUAAGACAUUUGAAAUUACAUAUCAUUUGUGACCAUUUUA